CUGUGAUUUCUCAAUUUGCCGAAGACUCAAUUAAUGGCAGACCUGGGAUUACAAAGCGGGAAGCGAGCCUGCCCAGCCUCCAGAUCCUGGACCCAAUGCCCCGGGGAAGGAGAUAGGCUGGGAUGGUGGGGAUACCAUCCUCCUGCCUCCUACUGGAAGCUCCAAAGAUGAGUCCUGGUGUCCACCACAUGCUGAAAGGAAGCCUUGUCAACAUGGAAGGAGAUCAAGGCAGCCGGGGGGUGCUGAAACCUCCUGUCUGGUCCAGCAUCUCUGAGGAGAUAGAGACACUUCGGAUGCUGCCCCCACCCCCUCCUGGAGCUCUCUCCACUCGAAUUCCGAGAGGCUUUGGAAUCACUAGACUGUCUCCCGCUCCCAGGAAACCCCAGGCUUCAGUGGAGCCAGGCGACUGGCCAUCCAUCAUCCUUAUCUCCCGGCUCUGGCGGCCCCAGGUCCCUGGCCUGGAUGGGCCCAGGGGGCCGGGAGGGGUUAGGAGGUGGGGGCUGAGAGGGCCUCGAUAACAAGAAAAGCAGCUGUCCCCUGGGGGAACUUCAAAGUGCCUGGAGCUGAAAUUUAUGGGCAGAGUUGCCCAUGUUAGGGGCCGGAGGGCCAUUCAUCCCACAAAUAUUUAUUGAGCACCUACUGUAUGCCAGGAACUGGGCUGGGGGAAUCUUAUGGGCCCAGAGAUUCUGUUGUUUGUUUUGUCAGAUGUCUACCUCGAGGGCUAGGUUUGAUGAAUGGAUCAAUUCGUUAAUUCAUUAAGUACUUAUUAAGCACCCACUGUGUGCCAAGGGUUUCUGGGGACCCAAGGCUGUUUGAAUGGUUAAGUUAAUAUGCCCCCUUCCGUGGGCAGGGUUUGAGAUCCACUAACACAGAGGUUUUAAGGGCUUUAACCUGCCCAAGGUUACUAAACCUCCCUGGGUCUCAGCUUUCUUGGCUGUAAAACCAGGAUAAUAAUGGCACCUAUCCUGUAGGGCUUGGGAGAAGAUGAAAUGAAACAAGAAACUAUAGAUCAAAGGCUUAGCCCAAGCCUGGCAAUGUCAUCUUGCAACAAAAGUGGCUAUUUUUUGUGAUUGCAGUUGAUCGAUAUAAUUACUCAUUUAUUACGUGUUUAUUGAGUAACUGCUAUGUGCUGGGCGGUUGCUAGAGGGGCAACUGGGCUUGUUGGCCUGGGAGGGUUUGCAAGAGUCCCUACUGCUCCCCUCAGGGGUCUCCUUGGCUGAGGCUUCCAGGGUUAUUGUGAGGAUAAAAUGAGAUAAAGACAGC
rnacentral:lncRNA from 1 species